rnacentral:lncRNA from 1 species
GAGUACUUAUUUAACUUACACACCAAGUACUGAUUUCCAUAAAUAGAGUACACAGAGUUUUGAAAUGAGUUCGAAAUUCAUAGCAGAUUACAAAUCAGAGUUAUGAAAUAAAACACAGCGGAAGUCUACACGAUUAAACGCCAAAACAGGUACAUGACGACCCGAGUAGCCUGGCCUCAUGUCAUCCACCCGAGUACUCCUCACACCGAGUUCGGGGACCACUCGACCGACCACCCC